GAUGAAGAACGUAGCGAAAUGCGAUAAGUAAUGUGAAUUGCAGAAUUCAGUGAAUCAUCGAAUCUUUGAACGCACCUUGCACCCUUUGGCAUUCUGAAGGGUAUGCUCGUUUGAGUGUCAUUGUACUCUCACACUCCCGAUCUUUGCAUUGGGAGCAGUGGACUUGGGUUUGCUGCUUCACCGUCGCUUACCUCAAAUAGGUUAGUGCAACUCUUGGUUGGACAUAGUACGGCGUGAUAAGUGUUCUUCGCCGGUGCCUCGCAAAGAGGGUGGCCGAUCGGGAUGUUGUGCUCCAAACCGUCUUCGGACAAUCUCUGACGACUUGACCUCAAAUCGAGUAAGACUACCCGCUGAACUUAAGCAUAUCAAUAGCGGAGG
rnacentral:misc_RNA from 1 species